UAACGCGUGAGCAAUCUGCCUUUGGAUGGGGGAUAACAGCCGGAAACGACUGCUAAUACCGCAUAAUGCAGCGGGACCGCACGAUUUUGCUGCCAAAGAUUUAUCGUCCAAAGAUGAGCUCGCGUCUGAUUAGCCAGUUGGCGGGGUAACGGCCCACCAAAGCGACGAUCAGUAGCCGGACUGAGAGGUUGAACGGCCACAUUGGGACUGAGACACGGCCCAGACUCCUACGGGAGGCAGCAG
rnacentral:rRNA from 1 species